UUCUUUAAGACCUAAUUUAAAGUAAGGCCUGCUCCAUGAACAAAUUAUAUAGCCGCAGUUAACCUGUGCUAAGGUAGCAUAAUCAUUAGCUCCAUAAUUGGGAGAUAGUAUGAAAGGCUAAACGGGGAGCUACUGUCCCACUCAUAAUAUUGAAUCUUAUUAAUUAGUAAAAAAGCUAAUAACCUCUUAAAGGACGACAAGACCCCGACAAACUCUUCCUUUAGUUGGGGCAACAAAGAAAUAAAUCCUUACUCAAACCCACACACCUAAAAUAUUUAUACAUGACUAGUUACUGCGGGGAUAACAGCGCAAUUUUUUUAAAGAGCCCUCAUCAAAAAAAAAGAUUACGACCUCGAUGUUGAAUUAACCUAUCUUUUCCCGGCGCAAAAGCUAUAAAGUACGGUCUGUUCGACCAGAUAAAGGUU
rnacentral:rRNA from 1 species